CUGAGAGCAAUGAAAUCAAUCCUAAGCAACCUGAGGAUAGCCCGGGUGAUUUGCCUGAGGAUGCAACACAAGGAGACAGCAGUACACCUGAAGAGAAGCCCGAAGAGAAGCCCAAGGAGAUUCCUGAAGAGAAGCCCGAGGAGAUUCCUGAAGAGAAGCCGGAGGAGAAGCCAGAAGAGAAGCCUGAGGAGAAGCCAGAAGAGAAGCCUGAGGAAAAAUCUAAUGAAGAUACCAAGUCCGAUGAUGGGUCAACUACUGAGACACAUAAUGGAGGAACUAAUGCAGAGGAUGGUGACACUAAAAUCAACAAUGGAGAAAC
rnacentral:lncRNA from 1 species